UACGAAGGGGGCUAGCGUUGUUCGGAAUCACUGGGCGUAAAGGGCGCGUAGGCGGCUUUAUAAGUCGGGGGGUGAAAGCCUGUGGCUCAACCCACAGAAUUGCCUUCGAUACUGUAGAGCUUGAGACCGGAAGAGGUAAGUGGAACUGCGAGUGUAGAGGUGAAAUUCGUAGAUAUUCGCAAGAACACCAGUGGCGAAGGCGGCUUACUGGUCCGGUUCUGACGCUGAGGCGCGAA
rnacentral:rRNA from 1 species